AGAGUUUGAUCCUGGCUCAGAGCGAACGCUGGCGGCGUGCUUAACACAUGCAAGUCGAGUGCGCGCCCGUAGCAAUACGGGUGGCGCACGGCGCACGGGUGCGUAACACGUGGGUAACCUGCCCUUUGAUGGGGAAUAACCCCGCGAAAGCGGGGCUAAUUCCGCAUAAGAUCCGCAAGGAUGAAAGCCGUAAGGCGUCGAAGGAGGGGCCUGCGCACGAUUAGCUAGUUGGUAGGGUAACGGCCUACCAAGGCUUUGAUCGUUAGCUGGUCUGAGAGGAUGGCCAGCCACACUGGAACUGAGACACGGUCCAGACUCCUACGGGAGGCAGCAGUGGGGAAUCUUGCACAAUGGGCGAAAGCCUGAUGCAGCGACGCCGCGUGGGGGAUGAAGCUUCUCGGAGUGUAAACCCCUUUCGACCCGGACGAAUACCUCGCAAGAGGGGUGACGGUACGGGUAUAAGAAGCCCCGGCUAACUACGUGCCAGCAGCCGCGGUAAGACGUGGGGGGCCAGCGUUGCUCGGAAUUACUGGGUGUAAAGGGUCAGUAGGCGGUGUGGCAAGUCGGGAGUGAAAUCUCUGGGCUUAACUCAGAGACUGCUUCCGAAACUGCUGUGCUUGAGUGUGGGAGAGGCGCGUGGAAUUGCAGGUGUAGCGGUGAAAUGCGUAGAUAUCUGCAGGAACACCCGUGGCGAAAGCGGCGCGCUGGACCACAACUGACGCUGAAUGACGAAAGCUAGGGGAGCAAACAGGAUUAGAUACCCUGGUAGUCCUAGCCCUAAACGAUCAGGACUUGGGGUGCCACCCGUUCGGGUGUCGUCCCGGAGCUAACGCGUUAAGUCCUGCACCUGGGGAGUACGGUCGCAAGACUGAAACUCAAAGGAAUUGACGGGGCCCGCACAAGCGUGGAACAUGUGGUUCAAUUCGACGCUACGCGAGGAACCUUACC
rnacentral:rRNA from 1 species